GGCUGAUGACGCAUGUCCUUCUCGCUUCUCCCUUCAAUAUAUACGACUGUGAGUGUACCGGUGAAGGAGAAGCUGAUGCCCCGUGUCCCCACUUGUAUUUCUUUUCUUGCAGGAGUAUGUGUAGGAGCAUGUACACUCAGCGCAGACUUGAGCUCCUCGGGGAGAUGCAGUGAAGCAAGACGGGGUUAAGAUGGAGAAAGAAACCACCACCACAGUGGAGAGAGAAAAGCCUGGUGGAUUUCUGGUUUUGGAGAAAGCGGUGUGAUGCAGACUAAAAUCCCUGGUGUUUAAUUAACUCAUGCAUCAUUUAUAUAUCCAUCUGAAUUCAUACAAACACUACAGGUAUUAAAAUAAAUACACUAAAAUACCUUAAAAUGCUGUGACAUUCAGGUUAUAAUCGAUAGAGUUUUAUACUUUUACAUUACUCUCUCACUCAUCCACACAUCACUCCUGCUGCUCUGCAUCAUCUAUUCAUUAUACAUCAUACUGUAGUCCAGGAGAAUUAACUAUAAUCAACAAAUUCAGAAUGACUGAUGUAUAAUUUUACUAUUAGGAACUAU